GACGAACGCUGGCGGCGUGCUUAACACAUGCAAGUCGAACGGAAAGGCCCUGCUUUUGUUGCUUUCUCGAUUGGCGAACGGGUGAGUAACACGUGUGUAACCUGCCCUUGUCUUUGUGAUAACUUCAGGGAACUGGGGCUAAUACCGGAUAUGAUCUCCUGCUGCGUGUUGUGGGUUGGUAAGUUUCGGCGGUUGGGGAUGGACUCGCUGGUUAUGAGCUUGAUGGUGUGGUAGUGGCUUACCAAGGCUUUGACGGGUAGCCGGCCUGAGAGGGUGACCGGCCACAUUGGGACUGAGAUACGGCCCAGAAGCCUACGGGAGGCAGCAGUGGGGAAUAUUGCACAAUGGGCGGAAGCCUGAUGCAGCAACGCCGCGUGCGGGAUGACGGCCUUCGGGUUGUAAACCGCUUUCGACUGUGACGAAGAGUGAGUGACGGUAAUGGGUCAAGAAGCACCGGCUAACUACGUG
rnacentral:rRNA from 1 species